rnacentral:ribozyme from 1 species
UGCCCAGCAACUCCUAUCCCUACCUCCGCGCGGUACUGACCGGGGUACGAGUUACCUUAGGUAAGAUCGGGCAACCAACUCCGGUGGGAGCUCUGGUCGUAUGCUGACAGGAGAUG